rfam:Canis lupus familiaris chromosome 17, whole genome shotgun sequence.
AGCUUCGCACAGUGGCAGUAUCAUAGCCAAUGAGGUUUAUCUGAGGUGCAAUUAUUGCUAAUUGAAAAAACUAAUUGUUCAACUUCAGAGAACUUUAAUUUAUUAUCUUAAAAACUUGUAAAUAAG